rnacentral:rRNA from 1 species
UACGUAGGGUCCGAGCGUUGUCCGGAAUUAUUGGGCGUAAAGGGCUCGUAGGCGGUUUGUCGCGUCGGGAGUGAAAACUCAGGGCUCAACCCUGAGCGUGCUUCCGAUACGGGCAGACUAGAGGUAUGCAGGGGAGAACGGAAUUCCUGGUGUAGCGGUGGAAUGCGCAGAUAUCAGGAGGAACACCGGUGGCGAAGGCGGUUCUCUGGGCAUGACCUGACGCUGAGGAGCGAAAGCCAGGGGAGCGAACGGG